rnacentral:tRNA from 1 species
GGGCCGUUAGCUCAGUGGUAGAGCACCUGCCUUUUAAGCAGGGGGUCGCAGGUUCGAUCCCUGCACGGCCUACCA